rnacentral:lncRNA from 1 species
AUGGUUUCGGUUUCAUCCUCUCCGCCUCGUCGGAUCGUCGUGCCUGCACCAACCUGCCCAGCUCCAUGGUUAUUUCCCUGGGAGGAUUUCCUGCUCUCACGCGGUCCUCAGCCUCCAGUUCAGCCGCGCGCUGCUCAGUCUCCAGUUCAGCCGCGCGCUGCUCAGUCUCCAGUUCAGCCGCGCGCUGCUCAGUCUCCAGUUCAGCCGUGCGCUGCUCAGUUUCCAAGUCAGCCGCGCGCUGCUCAGUUUCCAGUCCAGCCGCGCGCUGCUCAGUCUCCAGAUCAGCCGCGCGCUGCUCAGUCUCCAGUUCAGCCGCGCGCUGUUCAAUCUCCAGCUCAAUCGUGCUUUGCCCAGUCUCCAGCUCAAUCGUGUUUUGCCCAGUCUCCUGCUCAAUCGUGUUUUCCCCAGUCUCCAGCCCAAGCUCCAGACGCCGCGGCCCCGUUUCACCAUGCGGAUCCCGGUACAGAGGUCCGGUCCACACCGCGCCCAGCGCCUCAAACGACGGACAGUCGCAGCUGCUCCGGACGGCGACGGCGGCGGCGCGGGUCCAGGAUCCCGGGUCCCGCGGUCUCGGUCAUGGGGACCGAGCAGCCUUCUUCCCCGACAGAGGAGCCCCUUAAUUCUCUGACUGACUGUGUCCCUCUGAUAACAGGCAUCCCAGACAGCGUCGCCCGACGGGUCCACCUCCUCUGCUCUCCUCCAGUUGCCUUUCUCUUCGCCCACCUCAUGAACACCGCCAAUUCGGCUACAGACCAGGGCGCGAGAGAACAACUGUUCGAGGAAGCAGCCACUCUCGUCCGGAGGGAGCCUGCCCUGCGUGAGGCCCUGCAACUCCCGGGCCUGCAGCCAGCGGUCGCUUCAUGCCCCACCUCUCAGUCAGGUCAGCCGUGUGUUACUCAUGCCCCGGUGCAGCCCUGUCGUCUCCAGGUCCCAGCCCAGUCGAACCUAGUCCAGACCCCAGAUCAGCCGUGUGUUGCCCAGACCCCAGAUCAGCCGUGUGUUGCCCAGACCCCAGAUCAGCCGUGUGUUGCCCAGACCCCAGAUCAGCCGUGUGUUGCCCAGACCCCAGAUCAGUCGUGUGUUGCCCUGACCCCAGUUCCGUCCUUGUCCCCGUCAGAGGGCGCCGUCCGUCUGACGACUGUUAACCCCACCCAAUCAGGCCCGACGUCUCCCCCGUCGAGCUCGGCAGCUGUAAGCUGUCAUGCCAGCUCCGGAGGGGACGCCGCUCCAGUCCCUGUCGGCCAUGUUGCGGUCGUUCUAGUUCCUGUCGGCUCCUCAGAGGAGGACGCCGUCCCUGUUCCCGUCGGCCAUAUUGAGGCCGUUCUAGUUCCAGUUCCUGUCGGCUCCUCAGAGGAGGACGCCGUUCUAGUUCCUGUCGGCCAAGUAGAGGCCGUUCCAGUCCCUGUCGGCCAUGUUGCGGUCGUUCCAGUUCCUGUCGAUCCGUUAAAGGUCGUUCCUGUCCCUGUCGGCCAUGUUGAGGUCGUUCCAGUUCCAGUCGGCCAUGUUGAGGUCGUUCCAGUUCCAGUCGGCCAUGUUGAGGUCGUUCCCAGUCCAGUCGGCCAUGUUGAGGGUCGUUCCAGUUCCUGUCGGCCAUGUUGA